rnacentral:siRNA from 1 species
GAGUUUGUCAAAAUCGUGUAGC